UUAAGUGACUAAGCGUACACGGUGGAUGCCUGGGCAGUCAGAGGCGAUGAAGGACGUACUAACUUGCGAUAAGCGCAGAUAAGGCAGUAAGAGCCGUUUGAGUCUGCGAUUUCCGAAUGGGGAAACCCAACUGCAUAAGCAGUUACUGUUAACUGAAUACAUAGGUUAACAGAGCAAACCGGGGGAACUGAAACAUCUAAGUACCCCGAGGAGAAGAAAUCAACCGAGAUUCCGGUAGUAGCGGCGAGCGAACCUGGAUUAGCCCUUAAGCACUCGGUGAAGUAGGUGAACAAGCUGGAAAGCUUGGCGAUACAGGGUGAUAGCCCCGUAACCGACGCUUCAUCGAGCGUGAAAUCGAGUAGGGCGGGACACGUGAUAUCCUGUCUGAAUAUGGGGGGACCAUCCUCCAAGGCUAAAUACUCCUGACUGACCGAUAGUGAACCAGUACCGUGAGGGAAAGGCGAAAAGAACCCCUGUGAGGGGAGUGAAAUAGAACCUGAAACCGUGUACGUACAAGCAGUAGGAGCACCUUCGUGGUGUGACUGCGUACCUUUUGUAUAAUGGGUCAGCGACUUAUAUUCAGUGGCAAGGUUAACCGUAUAGGGGAGCCGUAGCGAAAGCGAGUCUUAACUGGGCGCUCAGUCUCUGGAUAUAGACCCGAAACCGGGUGAUCUAGCCAUGGGCAGGUUGAAGGUUGAGUAACAUCAACUGGAGGACCGAACCGACUAAUGUUGAAAAAUUAGCGGAUGACUUGUGGCUAGGGGUGAAAGGCCAAUCAAACUCGGAGAUAGCUGGUUCUCCCCGAAAGCUAUUUAGGUAGCGCCUCGGACGAAUACUACUGGGGGUAGAGCACUGUUAAGGCUAGGGGGUCAUCCCGACUUACCAACCCUUUGCAAACUCCGAAUACCAGUAAGUACUAUCCGGGAGACACACGGCGGGUGCUAACGUCCGUCGUGGAGAGGGAAACAACCCAGACCGCCAGCUAAGGUCCCAAAGUAUUGCUAAGUGGGAAACGAUGUGGGAAGGCUCAGACAGCUAGGAUGUUGGCUUAGAAGCAGCCAUCAUUUAAAGAAAGCGUAAUAGCUCACUAGUCGAGUCGGCCUGCGCGGAAGAUGUAACGGGGCUAAGCAAUACACCGAAGCUGCGGCAAUGUCUUUUAGAUAUUGGGUAGGGGAGCGUUCUGUAAGCCGUUGAAGG
rnacentral:rRNA from 1 species